GAUGAACGCUGGCGGCGUGCCUAAUACAUGCGAGUCGAGCGGACGGACGAGAAGCUUGCUUCUCUGAUGUUAGCGGCGGACGGGUGAGUAACACGUGGAUAACCUACCUAUAAGACUGGGAUAACUUCGGGAAACCGGAGCUAAUACCGGAUAAUAUUUUGAACCGCAUGGUUCAAAAGUGAAAGACGGUCUUGCUGUCACUUAUAGAUGGAUCCGCGCUGCAUUAGCUAGUUGGUAAGGUAACGGCUUACCAAGGCAACGAUGCAUAGCCGACCUGAGAGGGUGAUCGGCCACACUGGAACUGAGACACGGUCCAGACUCCUACGGGAGGCAGCAGUAGGGAAUCUUCCGCAAUGGGCGAAAGCCUGACGGAGCAACGCCGCGUGAGUGAUGAAGGUCUUCGGAUCGUAAAACUCUGUUAUUAGGGAAGAACAUAUGUGUAAGUAACUGUGCACAUCUUGACGGUACCUAAUCAGAAAGCCACGGCUAACUACGUG
rnacentral:rRNA from 1 species